AAUCAACGCUGGCGGCGUGCCUCAGACAUGCAAGUCGAACGAUUAAGACUUCCUUCGGGAAGUGCAUAAAGUGGCGCACGGGUGAGUAACACGUAAGUAAUCUACCCUCGAGUGGGGAAUAACGUUCGGAAACGGACGCUAAUACCGCAUAACGCAGCGGCACCGCAAGGUGACAGUUGUUAAAGGAGCAAUCCGCUUGAGGAGGAGCUUGCGGCAGAUUAGCUAGUUGGUAAGGUAAUGGCUUACCAAGGCUACGAUCCGUAUCCGGUCUAAGAGGACGGUCGGACACACUGACACUGAAUAACGGGUCAGACUCCUACGGGAGGCAGCAGUCGGGAAUUUUGGGCAAUGGGCGAAAGCCUGACCGAGCGACGCCGCGUGAGCGAAGAAGGC
rnacentral:rRNA from 1 species